rnacentral:rRNA from 1 species
CGCAUCUGUGCAUGCAGCAUAUCAAUAAGCGGAGGAAAAGAAACUAACAAGGAUUCCCCUAGUAACGGCGAGUGAAGCGGGAAGAGCUCAAAUUUGAAAUCUUAAAGGGUUUCCCUUUACGAAUUGUAGUUUAAAGAAGUGUUUUCUGUUGAGGUUUUGGUAAAAGUUCUUUGGAAUAGGACAUCAUAGAGGGUGAGAAUCCCGUAUUUGACCUUUACUUUCAACUUUGUGAUACACUUUCAAAGAGUCGGAUUGUUUGGGAAUGCAGUCCAAAAUGGGUGGUAAAUUUCAUCUAAAGCUAAAUAUUGGCGAGAGACCGAUAGCGAACAAGUACCGUGAGGGAAAGAUGAAAAGAACUUUGAAAGGAGAGUUAAACAGUACGUGAAAUUGUCAAAAGGGAAGCGUUUGACACCAGUGUUGUUUUUCUGAAAAUCAAUUAAAGAACUGUUUAUGCUAAGUUGUUUAGACUUUAUCAGCUAACUGUUUAGUUUUGAGCUUUUCUUUAAUGCACUUUUCAGUUAACAAGUCAACAUCAAUUUCUUUCGCUGUAAAAAAGCUUGAGGAAGGUGGCUUGAGAUUCGUCUUAAGUGUUUAUAGCCUCUUGCCUAUGCAGUCGGAGAGAUUGAGGUCUGCAGCGUAGAUCCUUCGGGGCUAAAUGCAUUUGUGCUAAGUUAUAGCAUUUUAUAGACAACUUGUUGACUAUGAUUUGUCUUGUAGCUUACUCGCUUAUGUUAUUUUACCUACGCUUAGGAUGUUGAACGCGCACAGAGUCUC